rnacentral:rRNA from 1 species
CGGGACUUAGUGCCGCAGCUAACGCAUUAAGCACUCAGCCUGGGGAGUACGACCGCAAGGUCGAAACUCAAAGGAAUUGACGGGGGCCCGCACAAGCGGUGGAGCAUGUGGUUUAAUUCGAAGCAACGCGAAGAACCUUACCAGGUCUUGACAUCCCGAUGCCCGCUCUAGAGAUAGAACUUUACUUCGGUACAUCGGUGACAGGUGGUGCAUGGUUGUCGUCAGCUCGUGUCGUGAGAUGUUGGGUUAAGUCCCGCAACGAGCGCAACCCUUAUUGUUAGUUGCAAUCAUUCUGUUGGGCACUCUAGCGAGACUGCCGGUAAUAAACCGGAGGAAGGUGGGGAUGACGUCAAAUCAUCAUGCCCCUUAUGACCUGGGCUACACACGUGCUACAAUGGCU